CAGAGGUAUUGUAAUAUCGUGA
rnacentral:miRNA from 1 species